rnacentral:rRNA from 1 species
AUUGAACGCUGGCGGCAUGCUUUACACAUGCAAGUCGAACGGCAGCACGAGGGGUUUACUCCUUGGUGGCGAGUGGCGAACGGGUGAGUAAUACAUCGGAACGUGCCCAGUAGUGGGGGAUAACUAGCCGAAAGGUUGGCUAAUACCGCAUGAGACCUACGGGAGAAAGCAGGGGACCUUCGGGCCUUGCGCUACUGGAGCGGCCGAUGACAGAUUAGGUAGUUGGUAGGUAAAGACCUACCAAGCCUCGCGAUCUGUAGCUGGUCUGAGAGGAUGAUCAGCCACCACUGGGACGUGAGACACGGCCCACGACUCCUACGGGAGGGCAGCAGUGGGGAAGUUUUGGUACAAUGGGGGCGAACCCUCGAUCCAGCCAUGCCGCGUGCAGGAAGAAGGCCUUCGGUUGGUAAC